CUCCACGGGCGAGGCUAUUGUUGGAGAGAGGACGGCUUUUGUUUUGCCCUCUUCUUUCGGGAAAAUAAAAAUAGAGGACGUACUGGAAGUGAAGUCGAUCACACGCCAGAAGGAAACAAAGAAAACAAAAGGAAAGCAAAAUAAAGGAACUCGGAGCAAGACAACAAAAACCCGAGUUCUUCAGGAGAUGAGGGGGAGAGAGAAACACGCAGCAGAAACACGACAAUAAAAAUCAGCAACUGGAUCAUAUUUAUUGUGCUUAACUCUUAACCUGUUUGAAUUCAGAGUCAGAAAUUAGAUUUAUUUUAUUUUUUUUCGUGUGAAGGAGUUGGAAACAUGGCUGUGGUUUCCGGUAGUGAUAAGACACCACCCAUUUACCGGCAGUUUCCAGCCUGAGAGACACUUCCUGUUCUCAGAAACUGAGCGGCUUUCUCUCGCCCUGCAGCUGACGGCUCGUCCUUCAGCUGGAGCGGCGGGAGAAAUGCGGCUCGACCUCUCCGUUUACUCCCAAUGACCCCGGCGAGGUCGCCUCGCACAAGUCCGACCAAAGUGUCAAAUCAUCGCCGUAACGCCGCGCUGACUCACUUUGCCUCACGGCGGCGGUGAAUGAGCCGACCCGCUGUCCCCGCUCUCCCUGCGGUGGUUCUGGGAAGAGGAGGACGGGAAUCGCCACAAUGACUGCAGGAAUUUCAAAGAACCCGCAGCUUGUUUUACUGUAUGUGUGAGCGGGCAGCGCUGCACAAAAUGUUGACGGGUGCAUCCUGUUUAUGCUGCAGAAAUGGGCAAUUUGAGGGGAGAAAAAGUGGAGGAAAAAAA